rnacentral:tRNA from 1 species
GAGAGCUUAGUUCAGUUGGUAGAGCCGUUGGUCGUGGGUUCGAGCCCCACAGUUCUCA